rnacentral:rRNA from 1 species
GAUGAACGCUGGCGGCGUGCCUAAUACAUGCAAGUCGAGCGAACGGACGAGAAGCUUGCUUCUCUGAUGUUAGCGGCGGACGGGUGAGUAACACGUGGAUAACCUACCUAUAAGACUGGGAUAACUUCGGGAAACCGGAGCUAAUACCGGAUAAUAUUUUGAACCGCAUGGUUCAAAAGUGAAAGACGGUCUUGCUGUCACUUAUAGAUGGAUCCGCGCUGCACUAGCUAGUUGGUAAGGUAACGGCUUACCAAGGCAACGAUGCAUAGCCGACCUGAGAGGGUGAUCGGCCACACUGGAACUGAGACACGGUCCAGACUCCUACGGGAGGCAGCAGUAGGGAAUCUUCCGCAAUGGGCGAAAGCCUGACGGAGCAACGCCGCGUGAGUGAUGAAGGUCUUCGGAUCGUAAAACUCUGUUAUUAGGGAAGAACAUAUGCGUAAGUAACUGUGCACAUCUUGACGGUACCUAAUCAGAAAGCCACGGCUAACUACGUG